rnacentral:tRNA from 1 species
CAGUGGCCGAAUGGUAAUGCGGCUGCCCGCAGUCCUUGUGGUGGGCGGUUCGAACCCCAG